AAGACUAUACUUUCGGGGAUCAUUUCCAUACUUCCUUACUAGAGAAGUUUCUCUGAACGUGUAGAGCACUGGAAACCAUGAGGACGAGGUGCAACAUUCUCUCCUGAGUGUGAAGCCGGCUUUUGGUGUUGCUUCGCUGCAAAUGCCCUUUGCCACUGAUGAUCGUUCUUCUCUCCUUUCGGGUGAGUGAGAGGGAGAGGACACAGUCUGAGUGAU
ensembl:snoRNA U3 Small nucleolar RNA U3